ACACUUCGUCAAAGGUCCGAGGUGCCCCGGAUGGAAGCGUGGAUUCUGACAAAGCGCUAGGUCGCGCUCCUCGUUGUCUAGCAACUAGAACUGGCCUCUGCCGCCAUUGGCCGAGACUUGUGGGCGGAGUUUAUAUCGUAGUUGUUAGCGUGUGGCGCAUCCUCAGAGGCCGACCCAGGAAGAGGAGAUGUAGCGUGUUGAAGGCCCUGGAGCUCGGCUCUGUGAAGGGAAGGCGAGGUCAAGUCGAGGGCGGAGCCUGAUCUAUGACUGACAUCUAAGUGACCGAGGUUCUGGAGGCGGAACUGGCUAGUCACUUCCCAGUGGAGACCGGGGGCGGGGCCUUGUCUGGAGGCGGGGCCUGAGCCCGGGGGUGGGAGUGAGUGAAGUUACGGCCCGAGCGCGCGCCGUUGGUUGGGCAUGUGGAGAGGCGGGUACUGAUGACGCCGUUGGUUGGUGCGCGGCUGGAGGGCGUGGCCCUGGCGGCGCCGUUGGUUGGUGGGCAGCGGCGGGCCAUGGCCCUGCUGUUGUGCCUGGGGAUGGCCACAGCGCUGGCCCAAGGCUGCCUGCACUGCAACGGCAACUUCUCGGAGAAGUUCUCCUUCUACCGCCACCACGUGAACCUCAAGUCUUGGUGGGUGGGUGACAUCCCUGUGUCUGGGGCGCUGCUCACCGAGUGGAGUCAGGACACGAUGAAGGAACUACACUUGGCCAUCCCAGCGGAGAUCACCCGGGAGAAGCUGGACCAAGUAGCCCAAGCCGUGUACCUGAGGAUGGACCAGCUGUACCAGGGGAAAAUGUACUUCCCAGGGUAUUUUCCCAAUGAGCUGCGAGCCAUUUUCCGGGACCAAGUGCACCUCAUCCAGAAUGCCAUCAUCGAAAGCCGCAUCGAUUGUCAGCGUCAUUGUGGCAUCUUCCAAUAUCAGACCAUCUCCUGCACCAAUUGCACAGACUCACAUGUCGUCUGCUUUGGCUACAACUGCGAGUCAUCAGCACAGUGGGAAUCAGCUGUAAAGGGUCUUCUGAGUUACUUAAAUAAUUGGCACAAGUAAGUCCCUCUCCUCGAAUGCAACAUCAGUUUUUCAGAGGCAGUGUGGCCAGAAUACCAGUGUGAGGUAAGGCUGGGCCCUCUGCAAGGGAAGAACGGGGAGGGAGGAGGGAAGAACUGAGUGCUCUGGGGUCCUCUGGGUCCAUGGGGGUGCUGGAUGGGUAGACACCAUAAGCAGGACUCUGUGCCUGGAUGUGCUGGACCUCUGCUGUACAGCCACACUCAUGUGGUCUUCCUCAUCGCCUCACCUGGGAUGUGCAGAACCACCCCAGCCUUCCUGACAUCACCAAGCUUCACUUGUCUGGAGCCCCAGCAAUUGGCCAACCUGACUUUGGAAAAUGUCUCUGAAUGUCUGACCCAG